rnacentral:lncRNA from 13 species
GUCUCGCAGUUGAGAGGAGGGAAUAAAGAGAGCGAUGUUUCUGCAGUGGUGUCAGCCAGUCAAGACAAGUGUUGCUUGUCUCACAGUUGAGAGGAGGGAAUAAAGAGAGCGAUGUUUCUGCAGUGUCAGCCAGUCAAGACAAGUGUUGCUUGUCUCACAGUUGAGAGGAGGGAAUAAAGAGGGUGAUGUAUUUGUGAAGGGGGAGAGGAGAAAAAUAGAAAACGGGAGAAAGAAAAGAAAGAGAAGAGCAGAAGAUAUCCCUCCAGACAGAGGCAGAGAGUAAACAGAAUCUUAGCUCUCGGACAGCCUGUGAUUUUCACUCAUCA